UCACUAACGGCGCCGUCUACAACGACUUAAUCUCAUACUACGACACUAUAGACCACUACGCGAACAGAGACACCAUCUUUUACUUCCUCUUCCCCUCGUGGCACGUAAACUCGCUCGAGACCUCGAUCCUCUUCCUCGGCGACGUCCACCCUCAUCUUUUCAUCAGUCUCAUCCAAUCUUUGAGAGAUCCGAAUCGCAUCCACUUACGUCUUGCCCCGUGGAGAGACUUAGCGUUUCCGGUGAACCACUUCGUCGAUGACGUCAAGAACGAUGUUAACAAGAGUGUCUCUCUUCUGCUGAGUAAGGUGAGGCAAGCGCAGGAGGGUUACAUACAAGGCUUCUCGGAUAACUGGGUCUCGAGGUUUCAUUCUCAGCGUGGGAGACAGAGCGUGACGGUUAUGGAGACAGCGGCUUCAGUGACGUUGGGUGAGGAGUUUGUGAGAAUCUUCCGUGAAGCGAAUCAGCUGAGGAAGAUUACGAUCUUCAACAUUGUUAAUUUAUCAGACGUGAAUCAAGCGGCUCUCUUUCUUGAAGGCGUAUGCGAGUUUCUUGCAGGGUUUAGACAUCAGGUUCUUUCUCUUCUCUUCUCUUCCGGUUAACACUUUUUAUUUUAAUCUAAAAUUUGGGUAACCCUCCCAUGUCCAACAGCUUGCACAUGUACCGGCUCAGUUUUUUCCUAACCAGGUUGCACCACAGUAUCCACUUGCUUAUCAGCAAAUGAUGCAGCAGCAGCCUGAAGUGUUACACGAUAUAUGCGUUUGGAACAUAGACCGGAAUGUCACGCGUGAUAUGCUACGAGAGAUGUUCAGACGUUAUCCUUCGGUUUGGGAGGUGCAGAUUGUGAAUGACCCUGGACGUGGCCAAAAACAUGGGUUUGUUAGCUUUGCAGAUGAAAGUGAGAAAUGGCGUGCUAUUCAGGAAAUGAACGGUGCUAUGCUUUUAAAAAAGCCAAUGCAUCUUCGUAGUGAAGCUCACCGCAAUAUCUAGCCUCACUUUCCUUCACUAUAUACUUGAGGUUGAUACUAAUUAAAGCGGUCAAUUUCUAGAGUCAGUCUCUUUGUUUUUUGUAAAGGAUUUACUUCUCUCUUAUGCCUUAAUCUGUAAACUGAACCAGAAGAUUCUAUAUGAAGUGAGGAUUUGUUUCAGUUACCAUUUUAGACAGAAUCUCCUUCAUAUGGGCUCAGGGUAACUUUGUGGAAUAAAUUAUGAUAGAGAGUGAUUUUAGUAAAGCUUAAUAAUAUGGAAAAAAAUAAUCAGUUAAAGAUACAGAAAACUAAAAGAUGAUUAACAAAGAUUAUAUGAUUGGUAUAAGAAAAUUAGAAACAAGAUUGCAAGCAUAGAAUGAAGAUUUGGGCCUUUAAUUUUUACUAGGUGAAACCCGCGCCAUGCGCGGAAUGAGUAGAUUUAAAUAGUUUAUCACUUUAAAUAUAUAGGUAUUUGAGAGUUAAAAGUCAUAGAAAGAAAUAUUACAUUUUAUAGAAUAAGGGGUUUAACCGAAAUUGUGUAUGUCUUUAUAAAUUAAGCUUCGAUUUUUAAGAAAAACUUGUGUGUUUGUUUUGUUAACUUGAAGCAUAGUUCAUAGAAGUGAAUCCCUAAGAGUAAGCAAAAACUUAUAAAAAAAAAAAUUAUGAAGUAAAAGAUAAAAUGAAACAUUGGCAAUAAAAUAAAACAUUAGCAAUAGAAAUUUUUUUUUUGGGAUUGCAUCCAAUCGUAAAUGAGAGCUUCGAAUAUAACUUGCGAUCAUGCCACCCGCGGAAUCCUAGAAUGAUAUAAAUAUAAAACUGAAUUAAAAAAGAACUCAAUGUUUUUAUACAAAUAGUUAUAAUAGCAUUAUGAUAAGACAAACUCCUAAGCUUCAAUUCCAUAUGCUACACACUUAAGCUCUUUCAAGCUAUAUUUAAUAGUAAAGAUUGAAAAAAAAAUUAAGCAAAUCGACAACGAAGUUAAAGCCCGCCAUGAGUGUUGUGCUUGCAAGAAUGUUUGUGAUAAGAAUGUAUUGAGAAGGAGACGGUGGUGAGAAAAUGUAGCUAGAAACCCUUGUGUUUAUGUAUAAUUGGCGUGUGUAUAUAUGGUAAAUAAUGAUUACUAAUCACCAUCUUUAUUUGCGUAAUUCAAAAUAGCACUAAUUUUCAAAACUUGCCAUAAUUAUUUUUAUAAUUUAAAUUCACAGCGGAUUCAUUGGAAUAUUAUAGGAAACAAACAGAUAUAUUGGUCAACAAAAUAAAUUUUAAAAUCAAUCAGUGUCAACGAAAAAAAAGAAUAUAUGAUUCGGUUUCGACUUAAAAUUUCCAUUACCAAAAUCGUGUAAUAUUAAUGAGUACGUAUAUAUUCCGAAUUAGUAUCAUAUUUAGCUCAAAACAUCCCUAAUUUGGAAUUUUAUGAAUACCAUGCAUUAUCACGCAAGUAAUGCUAAUUGACAAUCUCCUUAACAAUUUUUAGAAAGUUUUUAGUAAGGGGAUAAAUACCAUAAUUAAAUGUUAAGAAAUAUAUAUUAAUCAUGCAGAACCUUAUUUUUCUCAAUCAAGUAAUACCUUAUUUUUUUAAUCGCGUAUUAAAUUAGUUCCAUAAUUAAGGCAAUAUUUGUUUCAAUCAUGCAAUAAUUGGAAAAUAUUUUGAAACUAAUAUUUGCAUACACCAUUGUUGAGUAUCACUUUAAAUAUUUAAAAACAAAGGAAAUUAGGAAACUAAUAAAGUUUCUUUUAAGUUUUAAGACAAUUCAUAACAGAUUCUCCGAUUCAUAAUUACAUGAUUGACAAUCACCAUGUGUUUUAGGAAACAACAACGGUGCGACAUUUGAUUCGUGAUAAAUUUGACGUGAUGGAAAUGUAUCAAUAAACAACGAUCACAUAUCCGUUAAAGGCCAUAUAUAGAAAUUUCCUCUUAUCACGCAACCUUAGUGAUUGAAAUUUUUUUUAUUAAAUCCCGUGAUUGACAAUUCAUAUUUAAAUCAUGAAUUAGUGAGAAAAAAAAACUAAAUGGAAAGGUUAUUAAUAGUGUUGCCUUGAAUCGAACUAAUUUACACUAAACUGCCAUAACAUGAUGUACAAUAGUCUUUUGCAUAUGAAAUAUAAGGAAAUGAUAAAUAUGAUUAACGUGCAAAAGAGGAGAUAUGAAACUGCAAUCCUGGUUUUUAAAAUAUAAUAUAUUGGAUCUUCAUUUUCUUUCUUUUUUUUGAUAAAUUGGAUCGUUGAAGUUGCCAUGAAAAUAACCAAUUCGAGGAGCAAAACAUUAUAAAAAGAACUUGAAUAGAUUUUAAAAGCCCAAAUGAAAAAUAAUAAAAUCUAAGUGUUUGUUAUCCAAGGUAAAAUAUUAACAUUCCUUAUACUCAUUAAUUAUAACAAUCAAGCGAUUAUGUGUGAUCCCAGUUAGCUGCAAGACUAAUGGCUACGAAGUCAUGCUAGAGUCAUGCUAUAUGAUAAAUUAUUUCAUUGCGUGCAGACAUAAUAUAUCGUGCAGGCUACUUAUCAAGCAUUGCAAAGUUCCUUAUAUUUCAUUGCCAUACACAGAGUCGCAUGAUUAAAAUAUAUUUAAGUAGUCAUGCAAUAUAAGGAAUUAUAACAAUCAAGCGACUUCGUCUAUGGCAAUAAAAUAUUUUUGUUUUUGAAGAUGGAAGUGUUUAAAAGUAAACGCAUUGUAAGCAUUAGAAUGUUCAUUAUGUUGUUAUCAAUACACGGUAAGUUUAUAAUAUAAUCUAUUGAUGAGUAGCAAAGUUUUGUAAUUAGUCUAGUAAAGAAUGGGUUUUUGAAAAUAUGAGGUGAGAGAGCAUAUGAUGAUGGCACGUAGGAAAUGACACACUUGUAAUAAACAUAUGAAAUAAAAGUUAGUUUUUACCAAUGCUCCUCAAAUAAUAAAAAAAGGAUGCGUUUAUUAUGGUGUGUUCUUCUAAAAACAAAAGAUGUUUGUAAUUUGUACAUGUUGCAUGGUCGAGUGCCUUUCUUUAGUUCUCCUAAUUUCACGCUGAUUGGGUUUGAAAACAUGUAAAGGUUCUUAAACUAUUGUUUAUACGCCAAGUAAAAUACCUGUUCAAUAACUGAUUUUUUCUUUUUCUUUUUGAAGCUGACUUUUGAUUCCUUAAAUAAGAAAACAAAUAGAAAAAGGUGAACCUUUAAAUUCACCCCAUCAUUUAUUACCAAUCAAUUUUCCACAUAAACUAUUAAUUAAAAAAUAUUAAAUUAAACAAUAAAUAGCUACAAAAAAUAAAAACGCUAAUUUUAAUGAUAUUAACGCUUCCAGCGAAACCCUAAACCUUAAAUUUUAAAUUCUAAACCCUAUACCCUAAAUUCUAAACCCGAAUCCAAACCCCUAAACCCAAACCCUAUACCCUAAACCCUAAUCCUAGACCCUAAGCCCAAAUUAUAUAUCCUAAUCUUAGACCCUAAACCCAAACCCUAUAUCCUAAACCCUAAUCAUCGACCCUAAACCCAAAUUAUAUACCUUAAACCCAAAAAAUAGACUAUAAACCUAAACCCUAUAUCCUAAACCCAAGUCUUAGAUCCUAAACCUAAACCGUAAACCUUAACCCAAACCGUAUAGAAUCUAAGUUUUGGGUUUGGGUUUAGGGUUUACCCUUUGGGGUUUAGGUCUAGGAUUUGGGUUUAGGGUAUAGAUUUUGGGUUUACGAUUUACGGUUUGGGUUUAGGAUUUACCGUUUGGACUUAUGGUUAAAGUUUUGGGUUUAGGGUAUAUAAUUUGGGUUUAAGGUUUACGGUUUGGGUUUAGAGUCUAGGACUUGGGUUUAGGAUAUAGAGUUUAGGUUUAUAGUCUAGUGUUUGGGUUUAGGGUAUAUAAUUUGGGUUUAGGGUCUAUGAUUAGGGUUUAGGUUAUAGAGUGUGGGUUUAGGAGUUUGGAUUUGAGUUUAGAAUUUAAGGUAUAGUGUUUAGAAUUUAAGAUUUAGAGUUUCGCUGGAAGCGUUAGCGUUUAAAAUUAGCGUUUUUAUUUUUUUGUAGCUAUUUAUUGUUUAAUUUAAUAUUUUUUAAUUAAUAAUUUAUGUGGAAAAUUGAUUGGUUCUAAAAGGUGGAGUGAAUUUAAAGGUUCACUCUAAGGGGUGAACCCAAGUUCUGUCCUAAAUUGUGUGUUCAAUAAUUGAAUUUUAAUUUAUUUUUUAUUCACAGUUGACUUUUUAUUACUACAACAAAAAAAUAAAUUAUAAAAACAAGCCAAAUUGGGUUUAAAUUUGCAUGGUUCUAGUGAUUAACCGAACCCAAUGAAAAUUUAUGAGAUGCGAAUUGAUUUUAGAGUCAAAACCAAUCCAGUAUAUAUAUUGCCUUUCCUCAAAAGCCACAACGACGAGCUUUUAAAUUGGCAUGGUUCCAGUAACUUAACCGAACCGAAUCUUGAAUUUUAAUGAGACUCGAGUUGGUUAUACAGUUAAACCGAGUUCGUUAUAAUUGCCUUCCCUCCAUAAAACAGAGCAAAACCUAACGAUAAAAGAAAAAAACCUUUCAAGAAAAAUCCUCAGUCUCCAUCGUCGUCGUCGUCUUCCUCUCCCAGAAAUGGCUGGCGAUCUCUUCCGCCGUAACAGACCUUUCCAUCUCCUCGAUGGUUUCUACACCGAAUGGUCCGAACACCUAACCACGCGCUGCAUCCCUCUCUUCCGUGAUUCUCCCCCUUCCGCCGUCACUAACGGCGCCGUCUACAACGACUUAAUCUCAUACUACGACACUAUAGACCACUACGCGAACAGAGACACCAUCUUUUACUUCCUCUUCCCCUCGUGGCACGUAAACUCGCUCGAGACCUCGAUCCUCUUCCUCGGCGACGUCCACCCUCAUCUUUUCAUCAGUCUCAUCCAAUCUUUGAGAGAUCCGAAUCGCAUCCACUUACGUCUUGCCCCGUGGAGAGACUUAGCGUUUCCGGUGAACC
rnacentral:lncRNA from 1 species